rnacentral:rRNA from 1 species
UACGUAGGGUGCUAGCGUUAAUCGGAAUUACUGGGCGUAAAGCGUGCGCAGGCGGUUUUUUAAGUCCGAUGUGAAAUCCCCGGGCUUAACCUGGGAAUGGCAUUUGGGACUGCAAGGCUGGAGUUUGGCAGGGGAGACUGGAAUUCCUGGUGUAGCAGUGAAAUGCGUAGAUAUCAGGAGGAAUACCGAUGGCGAAGGCAGGUCUCUGGGCUAUAACUGACGCUCAUGCACGAAAGCGUGGGGAGCAAACAGG